rnacentral:tRNA from 1 species
AUCUAAAUAGUUUAUUAAGAAUUAUAAUUUGUGGAGUUAUGGGUGUAUUCAAUACUUUAGAUC